CUCUUUAAAGGUAAGUUUGGAUUCUUAUAACUAUUAAUUUAUUUGUGAAAUGCCUCUUUUUUCUCAAAUCUGAACUUGUACUGUAUGAUUUCAUAUCAGUUUUUUUUCUAUUUUGGUGUCUGUGCGGUUGAGCAUAUUAGUAGUAAGCAUAUAUAUAUGUUGAAUGUCCUAAUGUGAGAACUCUUGUUAGUAUACUUGAUUGAAAAUAAAAUGAGGUGAGAUGAUGACUGUUAUUGUAGAAAAGUCAUUUGCAUCUCAUUCUGUAAAGAAUGGAUUGCAACUGAAUCUUGGAAGCAAGUUGUUGUUUUUAUUGACUUGAAUAGCAGUAGGAAAUAGGAAUAAAAAUUCUCGUUUAAGUGCACUAAUACCACAUAUUAAAUAACUGCCAAGUGUAUAAGUAUAUUCCAAACCACGGUAUUCAUUCUUUGUGCAUGUAGUUUGUUUUUUUCCCAUUCUAUGAUGAAGUCUUUUUGCUUAAACAAGACUAUUGUUUCAUCUUUUCCAUUUAUCCUUAACUUGUCUCCUACUGUCUUGAUUGUAUUUCCACAUUAAUGAAAUGAAAUAGGCCUGCUUGUAGUUGGAUUAAUGUGCAAAUGUGUGCCUAUUAUUCUGUCUCUUGCGAUAGCUUUUGUGAAUGGAAACUAAUAUAGAGUGUUUCAAGAGAUUUUGGAAUAUGAAAGUUCAUUCUAAAAAUUAAAAAGAGAGCUGAAAGAUUGCUGCAAAAAUGAAUACAAUGUAAUCUUUUAGGACUGAAAGGUUUAGUGUAAGUAAAUAUACUGUAUACAAGAAAAGUUAGAUAGACAACAUGAUUUGAAUCUGAUUUGUCUAAGUUGUUUACUGAUUCAAAUAUUGAGUUGAUGUUAUACAUGAAGGUAUGUUUGGGGUACACAUAGGUGUGUUAGAUACACUGAUUUUGUUAGGAGAAAACUAAUUCAGUUAGUACUAUACUUGCUUUUGCUAGCUUGAUGACUUAAACCUUAAAAAAAUAAAAUUACACAAGCGUACGUAUAUACUCACUGUUUGAUUAAUUGAACAUUAGAACAAAAAGAUAGUAACAUUAAAUAAACAUAGUAUUACAUUUUAUUCAAAACAAAAUUUUAGUUCUUACUCUUUUUUGUUGUUAUACUAAUAUGAUUGUUAUGUAUUUUUCGUGAUUCAAGACUAUGGCACCUAAUAAAGAAUGGAUGCAACUUUUUGAUGAUCGACUUGAUAAUGCUUAUGUGCUUGGGGUGGAGAAAUUUUUGAAUUAUGCUUUUACAAAGUUAGGAGAAAAAAAAGAAAUACGUUGUCCAUGUAUGAAAUGUUGUAAUGCAUCUUCAAGAACUCGUGAGAUGGUUAGGUCACAUUUAUUGGUACAUGGAAUUGUCCGAAGUAAUACUUUUUGGUAUCAUCAUGGGAAGAGGUUACAUGAACCAGAAUCAGAUUCUGAAUUUGUAGACCAUAAUGACAUUGAAAGGGAUGAUGAGGAGGAUGAAAUACAUGAGAUUUUAGGGGAUUUAUAUCCUAAUUUGAAUGAAGUCAAUAUGAACACUGGUGGUGAUGAUAUUUUUGAGGAGGAACCAAAUCCUGAAGCAAAACGAUUCUAUAGUCAUUUAAAAGAUUUUGAGCAACCAAUCUAUGAAGGUUCCAAAGCUUCUAAACUUUCUACUUUGGUCAAAUUACUUCAUAUAAAAAGUAUUGGUAAAUGGAGUAGUGCGUCAUUUACAAUGUUGUUGAAGAUGCUGAAGGAAGAUUUAUUGCCAAAUGGAUCAAAUUUGCCAAGUUCAUAUUACAAUGCAAAAAAGAUAAUUCGGGAGCUUGGAUUUUCUUACCAGAAAAUUGAUGCAUGUAAGAAUAAUUGCAUGUUGUAUUGGAAGGAUGACGUGCUUCUUGAAUCUUGCAAAGUAUGUGGAAUGUCUAGAUGGAAGGAGGAUAAACGUAAUAGGGAAACAAAAUUUAAGCGUGGGAAAAAGAUACCAUGCAAGAUUUUGUGUUAUUUUCCUCUAAAGCCAAGACUUCAAAGACUGUUUGUCUUCAAAAAAAUCUUCUUUGAUGAGGUGGCAUCAUGAUGAGAGAGUUGAUGAUGGAAUAAUGAGGCAUCCUGCUGAUUCAGUAGCUUGGAAGACACUGGAUGAACUUCACCCAUCUUUUGCUACUGAACCGCGUAAUGUUCGACUUGGACUUGCUAGUGAUGGUUUUCAACCUUUUAAAAGUACAAAAACUCCACAUAACAUUUGGCCUGUGGUAUUGAUUCCUUAUAACGUACCACCUUGGUUAUGCAUGAAGCAAGAAAAUUUUAUUUUAUCGAUGCUUAUUCCAGGCCCUAAAAGUCCCGGAGAUGCAAUUGAUGUUUAUUUCCAACCUUUGAUAGAAGAAUUAAAGGAAUUGUGGGAAACUGGUGUGAAGACCUUCGAUGCAUCAUCUAGACAAAAUUUUAUGUUACAUGCAUCUUUGUUAUGGACCAUUAAUGACUUUCCUGCGUAUGCAAAUUUGUCAGGAUGGAGUACCAAAGGAAAAUUGGCUUGCCCAUGUUGUAAUAAAGAAACUCUUUCAAUUUGGUUGAAAAAUGGGAAUAAACAGUGUUAUAUGCGCCAUAGACGCUUUCUUCCUCGUAUUAACAAAUGGAGGAAUGAUAAAGAUUCUUUUGAUGGCACUAAAGAGCAUAAAUUACCACCAAAAAUGCUAUCUGGUAAUGAUAUACUUGAUCAAGUGGCUGAUUUAGAUGGUAACAUACUAUCAAAGGAUCCAAAGAAAGAGACUAAAAUAUCACAUGAUAAUACGGGUGAUAAUUGGAAUAAGAAGAGCAUUUUCUUUGAUCUUCCAUAUUGGAAAACUCUAUUGUUGCGAGAUAACUUAGAUGUGAUGCACAUUGAGAAAAAUAUAUGUGAUAACAUUUUGGGAACAAUCUUAAAUGUCAAAGGAAAAACCAAAGAUACCAUAAAUUCUCGAUUGGAUUUGGAAGUAAUAGACAUAAAGAAAGAAUUGCAUCCGAUAAAAAAGGGGGAUAAAUAUGAGUUACCAACUGCAUGUUAACAUUAUCACCUGAAGAGAAGCAUAAAUUUUUCAAUUUCUUAAAGAAUUUGAAGGUCCCAGAUGGAUUUUUAUCCAAUAAAUCUCAGUGUGUCAAUCUUAAAGAUCGCAAACUUUCAGGAUUGAAAAGUCAUGAUUGCCACGUUAUUCUACAACAUCUACUCCCACUUGCAAUACGUGGUAUGCUUCGCAAAUAUGUACUUGAACCACUUAUUGAGUUGUCUAUAUUUUUCAACAUGCUCGGAGCAAAAUGUUUGAGAGUAGAUGAGCUAGAGAAAAUAGAAGCCCAAAUUCCUAUAACUCUAUGCAAGUUAGAAAAGGUUUUCAUUCCUGCAACGGAAUGUAUGACUUUAUGUUCAAGGUAUUUGCAUACGGUGGAAACAAGAUUUAAUCGCACUGAGCGGAAUUAUAAUGGCGGUUCUAUUGAAUCUGAUGGAGGUUUAACAAUUUUUUUUCAACUUGGAAAAACUUUAAAUAGUGCCACACCAGGAAGUCUUGAAUCAGACGAAUUUGAGCAGGCACACUUUUAUAUUCUAAAGAAUUGUGAUGAAAUUCAACAAUUUCUUGAGUAAGUAAUAACUAAUUCAAAUAAUUGACUUUUACCUUUCCAUAUUUCCAUACUUAAAAUGACAUAUUAUACUUUAAAUUCUUUGUAGAGAAUUUUCACAAGUUCCAUUUGAUACCUCUAAGAAUGAUUCAGAGAUCGAAUGGAAUAGACAAUUCAUUAGUUGGUUACAAAUUAAGGUGAGUAGUUAAGAUUUUAUAUUUUAAAUUAAUUUGCGAAUAACAUUUGCUAAAUUGUGUAUACAUACUUAGUUUGAUAGGUUGCAGAAUUGCGCAAACAUGAUGAUAGUAAGCAAAUAGAAUAUUUGUUCUCACUGUCACGUGGUCCUCUGCCAUAUGUGACAAGUUUCAAAAGCUAUGUUACUAAUGGAUAUAGAUUUCAAGUGCAAGACCAUGAUAAAGGCUUGAGAACUCAAAAUUGCGAGGUGAUUGUAGUUGGUGAGACUGAUGAAGAGAAUAAAACUAUUGAUUACUAUGGAGAGUUAACUGAAAUUCUUGAAUUACAAUUUGUUGGUGGAAGAAGAGUGAUGUUGUUUCGAUGUGCAUGGUUUGAUGUGUAUGACCAAGAAAGGGAAUUAAAGUAGAUGAAUAUGGCUUCGUAAGUGUUUACCGAAAAUGAUUAUUGAAAGUAAAUGAGCCUUUUGUAUUAGCCAACCAAGCAUCACAAGUAUUUUAUGUUGACAAUCUUUCGAAUAAAGGAUGGCAUGUUGUGCGAAAGGUUCAACCUCGUGAUUCUUUUGAUGUUGGUGAAAACACUAAUGGUGAUUUAGAUAAUCUGUCAGAAAUCUAGGAAGUUGUUGGGUAUGGAAGAGUUAGUUGAAGCAAUUACAAGGAUGGUUGUUAGUCUCUCAUAAUAAUUUAAUGGAUUGAUGGAAUUUAUUGAUUUUAUAAGUUUCACUUUAUGAUUUUCAUUUUAGGAUAUUAUAUUUUGUUACUGUGUACUCAUGUUAGACUUUUGAGUUCUCAUUUUGUUACUAUGGUGUUUAUGGAUCCCAAAAUACUCUUCGCUGUUUUGUUUUCUCUUUUCAAGUAUUUACUUCAUGAUUUUUUGAUUGAUUCUUACAUAUGAUUCUAUAUUAAAGUAUUUUCUUUAUUGUUCUCUUACUGAUUUUUACAGAUUUGUUCUUAGUGUCUGUUUAGAUAAUAAUUCUUGUAUAGUAUUUAGCAAGGUGUAGAUCAUCUCUUAGAGAAUGUUGAAAGAUGGUCAUUAAUUGACUCACAACUUACAUGAACAGAAGCCCUUGAUGCCUCUAGAAAAUAUGUUUUUAGGUAAGUUUUUAAGAAACAAAACCUCAUGAAAACUUAUUACUAGAACUAAAUUAGUUAUUUUAUUAUGGUGUUGUCUUAUGCGGUUCAGUUGCCACAAAGUACCUAUAGUUUUGCCAAUAAGAUAACAUGAAUCAAGUAUGAUAGUUUAGAUGAUUUUUAACCUCACUUUAUGUACUCUCCUGUAUAUGGUGGACUUGUUGGAGUAAAAGAACAAAAGGCAAUACUCCAGAAUCAGUACAAAGAUUAAAUGGUACUGCAUGAGAACAUUUUGUUUUUUUUUUUGUGUAAAGAGGAUAGUCUAUCAUUGAUGCAUAACAACUUUACAAAUUGCUAUUAUGCGUAUAUAAGGCAUGAAACAAAUCAAACUUCUUCCAAAAAUCAUAACAUAAGCUCUACAAAAGUUCUAACCCCUAAAACCCUAAAAUACAACAAAAUCCAAAAUCAAACACCCAAAACAACUGCAAAAAAAAACAUAUAAUAACAAGUUAACAAACUUACAACUAUAGAGUGAAAUGUGAACUCAAACACCUCAGAAAAAACCAAAAACAAAUUGUAGUAAUCAACAAUGGAAUAGGACCAAGAGAGAGUAUGAGGGUUUGGUUGAAAUGAAAAAGAAAGAAAUGGAGGUAUGAAAUAAAAAAGAAAUUCGUUUUAACAUGUCAUUUCCUAUGUAACUUUUUAAAAUUAUGUGGAAAGCUUCGUGGAUGCGUUUGUAAUUUACGCACCACUACGUAGUUCAAAAAGGGUUUAAAAUGUUCUGUUUCACUGGGUUCGAGGAUUCAGUUGGCAAAGUGGUGAGUAGAAGGGUUUAGGUGACAAAUGAAGUCAAUUACAUGGGCCUCCCUCACCAUUCUGCCUUGUCACAACCCAAAGUAUAUCCUAGGCGUAACAUGGCGUGUAGGUCCUCGAGAGGCCCCACACAAGCCACUAAGCAUGCAUAAACAAGAUACUAGAAAAUCAAGAGAUUUUAAAAGACAAUUCAUAUCAUAAAGAUUUUUGUAAAAGAAAGCGGAAAUUUAUAUAGUCUUAAAGUCAUCUAUCAAUCAACAACAAUCGGGACGUAACCCUGGCAUAACGUACAACAUUUGAAAUGUAAAGACAAAAUGCAAUAAUAGGUUUGAUCCUCGAAACACGAGGACUCACCAAUGUUCAAUAGCUACUAAGUGAUCCCUAGUCACAGAGAUGGGAAGCUGGAGUGUCAGACCCUACAUUUGGGAACAAUGUAGGCAAGAGUAUUCAUGAGUACAAGAAUGUACCACGUAUGAUAGCAAUGCAUAGAGCUACAAAAUCAUGCUAAAAAAACAUUUCAUGUCAUGCAAAGACCAAGUUAAAACAAUAAGAAAAAAGUUAGAAAACAUCAUAGUAAUCAUGGUCAAAUGCAAGUAAAACUCAUCUUUGCACACUUGUGAGAUACUUCUUGAAGUAGCCUUUAUUUUGUAGGAAAAACAGAGGUUCUUUAACUACAAAACUUAGAGCUGAUGAAAGAAGAUGAAGGAAAUACUUUGUAGAAGUGCUUACUUUAUUAACUGGAAAUAUCUGCCUUUAUAGGCUUACAGACUCUGGAAGAUAAUAAAUGUCCAUGACUUCCACUUGACCAGAAACUAGGAAAGUGACAGAAAAAUAGCAACCAAAUAACAACCUAACAAAGACUCUUUCAACUCUUGUAAAAGACUUAUUCAAACUCAUAGUAAAUAAUCAGUAACUUAGUAACUUAGACUCUUUUUUUUAAUCAAUUCUCAACACUCCCCCUUGAUUCAAAAUCACAUACUCCAAGGUAUAACAUAAAGUAAUUGUGCUUUUCCUGAGGAAGUGCUUUAGUAAGAAUAUCUGCCACCUGUUCUUCUGUGCUACAACUCUUCAACUCAAUCACCCCUUCUGCAACCAGAUCACAGAUGAAAUGAUGCCGAAUAUCUAUGUGCUUUGAUCUUCCAUGACAAACAUGAUUUUUGACCAAUGCAUUUGCUGAUAAAUUAUCACAAAAAAUUUUUGCUGCUCCCUUUUGUUCUUGGUGAAGAUCAGCAAGCAAUUUCCUCAGCCACAACACUUGACAUGUUGAAAAUGCUGUUGCAACAUAUUCAGCCUCGGAAGAAGACACCAAUGUUGUUGAUUGUUUCUUUGAGCUCCAAGUAAUAGCUGCAGAACCAAGAGUGAAAAGGUUCCCAGAAACACUCUUUCUAUCGUUCACAUUCCCCGCCCAAUCACUAUCUGAAAAAUCAUAGAGAUUAAAAUUAGUACUUCGAAAGUACCAUAGUCCAAAUCCUGUAGUUCCAACAACAUAGCGCAAGACUCUUUUAGCUGCACCAAGAUAAUGCUUCGAAGGCAUAUGAAUAAACCUUGAAAUGAUUCCAACAGAAAAUGAUAUAUCAGGACGAGUGUGCGUCAAAUAAAUUAAGCCUCCAACUAAACUUCUAAAAUAACUUCCUUUAGCUUUUUCAAUACCAUCAUCAAGUUGCAGCUUCUCAUUUACAUUCAUAGGAGUAGCCACUGUUUUGUAGUUAAGCAUGUUAAAUCUUUGAGAAGAUCAGUGGCAUACGUCCUUUGAGAUAUGAAAAUUCCAUCUUCUUCCUGCUUCCCUUCAAGUCCAAGAAAAUAAUGCAACACUCCCAAAUUUGUCAUUUCAAAUGUUUUCAUCAUAGAAGAUUUGAAAUCAUAUACAUAAGACUAAGAUGAACCCAUAUAGAUCCUAUCAUCAACAUACAAACACACCAAUAAUAGAUCAUUUUUUUCAUAUUUCUUCACAUAUAAAGUUGGUUCAUUCUUACUUCUUUCAAAACCAUUUUCUCUGCAAUGUGAAUCGAUUUUGUUGUACCAUGUGCAAGGAGCUUGUUUUAGCCCAUAGAGUGAUUUCCUCAACUUGUAUACUUUGCUAUCCUUUCCUUUCUCCACAUAACCAUCUAGAUGCGUUACAUACACUUCUUCUUCCAAAUCACCAUUAUGGAAUGUAGACUUAACAUCAAAUUGAUAAACCUUUCGCUUUAAUUGUACAGCCAAAGCUAAAAGGAUUCUUACUAUUUCAAAGCGAGCAACUGGAGAGAAAGAUUUGUCAAAGUCAAUGCCUUGUUGUUGUGAAUAUCCUUUUGCGACCAAUCUGGCUUUGUGUUUCUGCACACUUCCGUCAAAAUGGUACUUUGUCUUGAACACCUAUUUUUCUCCGAUAACAUUUUUUCCAUCUGGAAGGUCCACCAAGUCCCAUG
rnacentral:lncRNA from 1 species